GGUUGCUAUAGUUCUGGGAAGCUUUAUGGCCCCCAAAUGUAUACCUGCCACCAACAUCACCAACAUCUGUACCUCAGAGAAACUAAGGCCCUGGCUGGGAUUUUUUUCUCCUGUUUCGCAGACCCCCGUCUGAUGAGCUGAUGGGGUACCUUGUCUCUGUGAGAGAUGGGCUUUUGCCAUGUUGCCCAGGCUGGUCUCAAG
rnacentral:lncRNA from 1 species